AACGAACGCUGGCGGCGUGCCUAAUACAUGCAAGUCGAGCGGAAGUUGGAGAGCUUGCUCUUCAACUUUAGCGGCGGACGGGUGAGUAACACGUGGGCAACCUGCCCUGCAGAUCGGGAUAACUCCGGGAAACCGGUGCUAAUACCGAAUAGUUUUCGCCACCUCCUGGUGGCGUACGGAAAGACGGUUUCGGCUGUCACUGCAGGGUGGGCCCGCGGCGCAUUAGCUAGUUGGUGGGGUAACGGCCCACCAAGGCGACGAUGCGUAGCCGACCGGAGAGGGUGAUCGGCCACACUGGGACUGAGACACGGCCCAGACUCCUACGGGAGGCAGCAGUAGGGAAUCUUCCGCAAUGGACGAAAGUCUGACGGAGCAACGCCGCGUGAGUGACGAAGGUUUUCGGAUCGUAAAACUCUGUUGUGAGGGAAGAACAAGUACCACUUAACUACUGGUACCUUGACGGUACCUCACCAGAAAGCCACGGCUAACUACGUGCCAGCCGCCGCCGUAACAC
rnacentral:rRNA from 1 species